UACCGUAAACCGACACAGGUAGUCGAGGAGAGUAUCCUAAGGCGCUCGAGUGAUCCGUGGCUAAGGAACUAGGCAAAAUUGACUCGUAACUUCGGGAGAAGAGUCGCCCCCGUGAGGGGGCCGCAGUGAAAAGGCCCAGGCGACUGUUUAGCAAAAACACAGGACUCUGCGAAAUCGAAAGAUGAAGUAUAGGGUCUGACACCUGCCCGGUGCUGGAAG
rnacentral:rRNA from 1 species